rnacentral:rRNA from 1 species
ACCCGCUGAACUUAAGCAUAUCAGUAAGCGGAGGAAAAGAAAAUAACAAUGAUUGCCUCAGUAGCGGCGAGUGAAGAGGCAAAAGCCCAAGAUGUUAAUCUGUGUUAAAGACAUAGAAUUGUAAUCUAUGGAAUAGCUCAGAAAGCCGAAGUCCGCCAUAAAUUCCUUGGAAUAGGAUGCCAGAGAGGGUGAAAGCCCCGUCUUCGGGUGGGACAAGGCAAUAUGAGAUGUUUCCAAGAGUCGGGUAGUUUGGGAAUGCUGCCCUAAUUGGGAGAUAAACUUCUCCUAAGGCUAAAUAUUUAUAGGAGACCGAUAGCAUACAAGUACUGCGAAGGAAAGAUGAAAAGAACUUUGAAAAGAGGGUUAAAAGACUUGAAAUCGUUGAAAAGGAAGCAGUAAAAGAGAAAUUAUUUGCCUAGGAAAAAGGUUUUAGGCUAAGCUUUGAGGUGGAGAAUACUUCAUAGGGUUCUUGCCUUAAAGUGAAAACUAACUCACUAUUUCUAGGUAAUAGGCAGAAUGAGUUCGGGCUGCAAGAAUAAGUUGGCAUGUUUAUUCAUCCAAUCGAAGUUGCAGUGCGGACUGAGGGAUCUUAGGAUGAUUCUGUCAAAAUGGCUUUUACUGACCCGUCUUGAAACACGGACCAAGGAGUCUACCUAUUAUGCGAGUGUUCGAGUGGAAAAACUCAAACGCACACCGAAAGGGAUUUAAGAUGCGAGGCGCGAGCUGCAGCAUCAACCAAUCUUGAUUCUUUGAUGAUAGACUUGAGUAAGAGCAUAAUCGGUAGGACCCGAAAGAUGGUGAACUACGGUUGAGUAGGGUGAAGCCAGGGGAAACUCUGGUGGAGGCUCGAAGCGUUACUGACGUGCAAAUCGUUCGUCAAACUUGACUGUAGGGGCGAAAGACUAAUCGAACCAUCUAGUAGCUGGUUCCCUCUGAAAUUUCUCUCAGGAUAGCAGGGAACAGUUUUAUGCAGUUUUAUCAGGUAAAGCUAAUGAUUAGUGGACUCGGGGUUCCCGUGGGCCUUGACCAAUUCUCAAACUUUAAAUUGGUAAGAACCAGAAGUUUUCUUAAUUGAACUUCGGGGUAGAAUGCAUUGUUCUUAGUGGGCCAUUUUUGGUAAGCAGAACUGGCGAUGAGGGAUGAACCUAACGUUGAGAUAAGGUGCCAAAAUUCACGCUCAUGAGAUACCAAAAAAGGUGUUGGUUAGUUUAAACAGCCGGACUGUGGCCAUGGAAGUCGGCACCAGCUAAGGAGUGUGUAACAACUCACCAGCCGAAUUAACCAGCCCUGAAAAUUGAUGGCGCUAAGCGUGAUACCGAUACUCAACCACCAAAGCAAAUAGAAGCAUUGGUGAGUAAGAGGGCGUGAGGACUGUGUAGAAGGCUUGGAUGUGAAUCUGGCUGGAACAGUCUUUAGUGCAGAUCUUGGUGGUAGUAGCAAAUAUUCAAAUGAGAACUUUGAAGACCGAAGUGGAGAAGGGUUCCAUGAGAACAGCAUUUGAUCAUGGGUUACUCGAUCCUAAGACAUAGGGAAACUCCUUGUAAUACAUUUGUUCUUACGAACAUGUAGUCAAAAGGGAGUGAGGUUCAUAUUCCUCAAGCUGGAUGUGGUAGUUAUGUGGCAACACAAAUAAGCUCGGAGACAUCUGCAUGUGCAACUGGAAGAGUUCUCUUUUCUUCUUAACAGUCUAUCUCCCUGAAUGGAUUGUCCAGAGCUAGGGAUAUAUGGCUGGCAGAGCAGUUCACCAUCGAAUUGUCAGUGAUGCUCAUGACGAUCCUUGAAAAUCCGAGUAAGAUUAUCUAAUCACACCAGGUCGUACCCAUAACCGCAUCAGGUCUCCAAGGUU